GACGAACGCUGGCGGCGUGCUUAACACAUGCAAGUCGAACGGAAAGGCCCUGCUUUUGUGGGGUGCUCGAGUGGCGAACGGGUGAGUAACACGUGAGUAACCUGCCCUUGACUUUGGGAUUACUUCGGGAAACUGGGGCUAAUACCGGAUAGGAGCUCCUGCUGCAUGGUGGGGGUUGGAAAGUUUCGGCGGUUGGGGAUGGACUCGCGGCUUAUCAGCUUGUUGGUGGGGUAGUGGCUUACCAAGGCUUUGACGGGUAGCCGGCCUGAGAGGGUGACCGGCCACAUUGGGACUGAGAUACGGCCCAGACUCCUACGGGAGGCAGCAGUGGGGAAUAUUGCACAAUGGGCGGAAGCCUGAUGCAGCAACGCCGCGUGCGGGAUGACGGCCUUCGGGUUGUAAACCGCUUUCGCCUGUGACGAAGCGUGAGUGACGGUAAUGGGUAAAGAAGCACCGGCUAACUACGUG
rnacentral:rRNA from 1 species